AACCUUACAUACUGCUUUUCUUAACCAGAAAAAAAAUAGAAAACAGAGCGUAACGAGCCAUACAUUAUCUUAUAUGUUGAAGGACUUACAUAACGAAAUACCAUAUGCAAAUACUGCUCCUCCUGUCUUAUGUCAGGUUGAAAAGCCGACCUCCAUCACUGGUUGUGAACCAUUGGAUUUCAGGGAGGUACACAACAUGUUCCUGUUCUGGUGUGUGCUGUGUGUAUCGUCACUGCAUGGAGUCUUGUCACAGGUUCAGCUCGUUCAACCCUCCUCAGAAAUCAGGAAACCUGGAGAAAGUGUGAAGAUUUCCUGUAAGACUUCUGGAUUCACAUUCACAUCCUACUAUAUGAACUGGAUUCAACAGGUCCCUGGAAAUGGAUUGAAGUGGAUUGGAGGGAUUGACCCUGCGGAUGGGGAAACAAGCUAUUCCUCAUCAUUUGAAGGAAGAUUCACAAUGACAACAGACAAUUCCAUUACUACAGCCUAUCUACAGAUAGACCGCCUGAGUAUGGAAGAUUCAGCCACAUAUUACUGUGCAAGACACACAAUGAUAAAAAGAGGAGAUCUGUCAUACAAAAACAUAGAAGCAAUAUAA